rnacentral:lncRNA from 1 species
UAUAAGUUGAUCCAUGAGAUGUGGGUUAAGUGUCAGCUCAUAAAGAAAGAAAACACAAGAGGAGGACAAAUUAACUUUAAAAAGCAGCAGAGCCUAUUGGGACUAAACAUUUUCAUUAUCAUGCAGAGGAUAAAACCUUCCUAGAAACUGACAGGAAACAAGGAAAAGAAAAUGUUUAGAAGAGGUCAAUAUGAACAUCACUUUAAAAGUGCGCAGCCCUACUGGAUGUUUAAGUAAUAUUUUUUCUUACUUUUUUCUUUUUCUUUUUUUUUUUCUUUUAAUAACUAGCAGUAUAUUAACUGCCUAGUUUCCUGACGGAAGGGAAGUAGUGAACCUGGAAGACACAUUUAAAGUGAAAUUAUGACCUCUGACUGAUUUUGGUCAGUCAGAAAAGCCAUUUGUUUGCAAAGGGUAUAGUGGUGAUAGGCUAAGGAGCAUUAAGACUUACUAUGUAGAAAAUAUAAACUGAUAAUAUUUAAAAAAAAAAAAAAUUAAAAAAAAAAUCUGGAGUUUAGGAGAGAAUGGGGGAAAGAUGGCAAGUGAAAAAGAUGAAAGCAUUGUAAUAAGAAAAUACAAUAGGAAAGAUUUGAAAUUUGGAGGAAAAGGAGCAAAAAUGAGAGAGAAAAUGGAAAGCCUUAAGUCAUAGUAUUAUUUUUCUUUGAAGACUAUAAUUUAGUAAUUUUUUUUCCAGUCUCUGUUGUCCUCUCAGUUGUGUUCAUGCAAAGGACUGUUAGAAGGCACAACAAUAACCAUUAUGUCCUGAAUAUUAAAUUAUAUCAAAAUUAUUGUUGUCCUUCAUGCUUCUGUAAACAUAAAAAUUCUGCCUGAGUUCGUUUAAUACAAUAGAAAUAAGACCUUUUGUCUACGAGAUAAAUUUCUACUGUUAGUUAAUACAACUAACACUAUUGCGAAGCUGAG